rnacentral:pre_miRNA from 1 species
AUUCUACUCCCUCCGUUGCACAAUACAUGCCUUCUAUUUGUCAAAAUAUAUAUGUAUCUAGACAUGUUUUAGUAUAUAGGUACAUCCAUUUUUGGAAAAAUGGAAGUCAAGUAUUUUUGAACGGAGGGAGUACACA